AUAUAUAAUUCAAUGGUUGGCUAAACGAAAUAAGAUAAUGAAAAAUAAAGAUGUUCAUUUUAUAAAAAUAUUUAUUUUCUACAUCAAAAAUAAAGCUGUCUUGAUAUUCAUCCUUGCAGACUAAAUAAAAGAUUUCUAUAUUGCAUUGAUCCUUCGAAAUAUUUAUUUUUAGCAAGUUAUAUAUAAUACAUUAUUGCUUGAGAUUUAUUAUUACAAAUGUUGUAAUCCUUUUUAAAACUAAAAUAUUUUCAACCUAAAUCAUUUACUUACAAUCGAUAGUAGAUUGAUAAUUAGGGAUAAAAUUAUAGGCUUCGCUCCUGUCCUUCAACACUCGCAACAAUAGUUUUCAUUGAAUGGAGUUAGACUCAUUCAAUGAAUACUAUGUUGAUGUAAACAGGAAACAGGAGUAACGCAUGCGCAUUGGAAAUAAUUCACGGGAGCGCGCAGUGCCGAUAUGUAAACAGCGGGUGGAGCCGCUGUUUACAUUAGAUGGGGGAGAAUCAGGAAACUGAGAGUGGGAGGAGCGGGUAAGUGAAUGAGCGAUGAUUAUAUGAUAAAAUAACAUCGCAAUAAUACAUUUUUUUUAAAAAUAAUUGUGGCGGUAUUCUUUAGCGUAUUAUUAGCUACUAUUAUAUAUAACGCAAUCUAAUAAAAUGUACAUUCACUUUAAUAUUGGCUUACAUUUUAGCUGGGGUCAGUAAAAAUAGUCGGCUUGUGCCCUAAUCAAAAAGGUCUUGGGGAGAACACUUUCACUUUAGCCAUAAAAUUCUUUCAGGGUUCUUUAAUUCAAAUUUUACAUUUUGCGCUCCAUUUUAUAAUUUAGAACUUUGUUUAACACUAAAAAGAAUAAUGUAUAAUACCCUUUGCUAAAAUUUAAAAUAGCUUUUAAAGUGACACAACUUAUGGAAGCAUAUUUAGAAAAUGCAAGCUAAUUUUGCUAUUGUGCAGAUAAAAUUAGAGGUGGUGAAAAAUAUAACGGUUCUAGUGGGACCAAGGGGGUUUUGAUUUUCUAAUUGCAAUAAAAUAUAUAUGGCACUUACAAGAGCAUGAAAGCUUUUUCUUUUUUUCUUCCUCAGCAUAUGUGACCGUGUAUGGAGAAAUGCCAUAUUAUGAAGAGAUGCUCACUUCACCUCGUGUUUACGUAGAAGAAAUUCAUCCACGCUGUCACUAGAUGAUUCUCACUCAUUACAAUGGCACCAUGAUGACUUUACAGAUUAGAGACCUUGAUCUAACGCCUUUAUGCAACUAUUGAAUAAUUGGAACACAACUUGUGACUUUAGCCCAGUGACAUUAUGCUAGGUUUUGUCAUAGCGGUUUCUUCAAAGAUGAACAAUUAAACGUAUACACACCGUGUACACAGGAAAAAAGGUGAUUAUGGCAGGACGACAGCAUUUUUCUUCAAUUACCUUGAACAAUAAACAUGGAUGCAAUUUGGAUUUAUGACCUGUGGCGGCUAUUUAAAGUGUUGUGUUGCUGUGUCAAUAAAGCUUUGACUUCUCUUA